AUUGAACGCUGGCGGCAUGCCUUACACAUGCAAGUCGAACGGCAGCACGGGUGCUUGCACCUGGUGGCGAGUGGCGAACGGGUGAGUAAUACAUCGGAACGUACCUUAUCGUGGGGGAUAACGCAGCGAAAGCUGUGCUAAUACCGCAUACGCCCUGAGGGGGAAAGCGGGGGAUCGCAAGACCUCGCGCGAUUAGAGCGGCCGAUGCCUGAUUAGCUUGUUGGUGGGGUAAAAGCCCACCAAGGCGACGAUCAGUAGCUGGGCUGAGAGGACGAUAAGCCACACUGGGACUGAGACACGGCCCAGACUCCUACGGGAGGCAGCAGUGGGGAAUGUUGGACAAUGGGGGCAACCCUGAUCCAGCAAUGCCGCGUGAGUGAAGAAGGCCUUCGGGUUGUAAAGCUCUUUUGUCAGGGAAGAAACACCGGCUCUAACACAGUCCGGGAAUGACGGUACCUGAAGAAUAAGCACCGGCUAACUACGUGCCAGCCGCCGCCGUAA
rnacentral:rRNA from 1 species